rnacentral:rRNA from 1 species
UACGGGGGGAGCAAGCGUUGUUCGGAUUUACUGGGCGUAAAGGGCGCGUAGGCGGUGCAACAAGUCACUUGUGAAAUCUCCGGGCUUAACUCGGAGCGGCCAAGUGAUACUGUCGUGCUAGAGUGCGGAAGGGGCUACUGGAAUUCUCGGUGUAGCGGUGAAAUGCGUAGAUAUCGAGAGGAACACCUGCGGCGAAGGCGGGUAGCUGGGCCGACACUGACGCUGAGGCGCGAAAGCUAGGGGAGCGAACGGG